rnacentral:rRNA from 1 species
UACAGAGGUGGCAAGCGUUGUUCGGAAUUACUGGGCGUAAAGGGCGCGUAGGCGGCCAUCUAAGUCAGACGUGAAAUCCCCCGGCUUAACCUGGGAACUGCGUCUGAUACUGGACGGCUGGAGUUCGGGAGAGGGAUGUAGAAUUCCAGGUGUAGCGGUGAAAUGCGUAGAUAUCUGGAGGAAUACCGGUGGCGAAGGCGGCAUCCUGGACCGGCAUUGACGCUGAAGCGCGAAAGCUAGGGGAGCAAACGGG